rnacentral:misc_RNA from 1 species
CAAUAAUAAUAAUUUUGCCAGUACAAAGUAUUAUUACUCUACCAUCCAUUUGUCUUUGACCGUUAGUUCAGUGCUCGUCCUGCUUUCUCGCGCGUUGCAUCGGCUGCUGAAAGUGCUCUCGAUUUUUGUGGGACGCCAAAACAAUCAACAGCAAUCAUCCGAUCCUUUUAACAACAUGACGAGUAAAAGUCACCGCGAAGAGGAGGAGGGACAACGUCAAUCAGCUCGCUGCUGUCCUGAGGUUUCGAUCCUCGUCGCGCGACAUUGCCACACUGUCACUAUAUAGCGCAGCACGUGUGAAAGGCGCUUUGUUUAUAUAUAAAUAAUAAUAAAAAAGCCCAAAAUCCAAUAAGCCAAUGGACGCGAGGGAGAACAACAACGAGCCCGUCAAGAGCGCCAAAACCGGCAAUAGGGAGGCUGCUUUUAUAUUCGGCAGCUGGAAGUGCAGGAACCCGAAGAAGAUCCGCGUCGCCUCCAAGGACAUUGCCGGCCCAGAAUCGCUCGACUGCAGGAAAAAUCCACGUGCCCAGAAGCAGCAUGAACCGACUCUGCCCACCUCCUCCUCGGGUACGUACAACUCGUACGGUACGACGACCACGACGGAGGAGCAAAACGAAGGGUGUCCGAACGCGACGACAACGAGACGUGCCCUUGCGGCCAGCGAUCAGUUGAACGAGCAGGACUUUUGGUGUCCCAGGUGCAACGGCAAGAUGGAAGAGCCGAGGCUACUCCCCUGUCUACACUCGGUCUGCACCGGUUGCGUCGACGACUUCAUGAGCAAGGACUACUGCUACGGAUCGUCCCAGGAGCUGGGGGUCGAGGGUCGUAGCGCGAGCUGCAACAGGCGAGCGGUCGAGGGCUGCCCGCUGUGCGACUUUCCCCUGCCCAAGUACGGGUCGUCGCCACCCCCGCCUCCGCACUAUCCGCUCCAGCACCGGCUCGUCAUCUACGCGGUCCGCCGAAGGCUCUCCCAGAGGGCCGUGUGCUGCGACGCUUGCGCCGACGAGGUGCAGGCGACGCAGCACUGUCCGGCGUGUCUGUGCAACUUUUGCGACGACUGCGGCCCGGAGCACGAGGCCCAGUACCGCAGCCCGAGUCCCGGUCGAGGUCACGCGACCCGUCCCCUCUGGGAGGCGAGCGCCCUUCGCCGGGUCGCCGUGUGCCUGGCCCACCCGGCGCACCCGUUGCGCUUCCACUGCCUCGCGUGCCAGAUGGUCACGUGCAAGGAGUGCAUGUGGCGAGGGACUCAUCGGGGCCACGCGAGCGAGGAGGCGACGAGCGCCGGGUCCAGGGCUGCCCUGCGGCUGGCGGCGGCUCUGCGGAGGGCCAAGAAGCUGCUCAACUCGUUGCUCACCGAGUACAGCGAGCGGGUCUUCGAGCCCGGGGAAUUCAGGGCGCGCACGGCCCUCGACAUCAACUCCGACAGGGACAGAGUGCCGAGGGCGAGCCACGCGCGCAGUCGGUCGAGCAUAUCGUCGCACUCGAGGGAGGCCAGGGAGAGGAUUCAGGAGUACUCGCGGCUUCGUCGGGCGAGGCACCUCAUCGACGCCAUUUUCGUGGGCGAGGAUUUGCUCGCCAACGGCUCCAACGUCGAGAUACUCAGUCUGGAGCUCGUUAUUGCCAAACGGCUCAGGUUCCUCGGGGUCCCGGUUGAAGUGCAAGCGCAGUACGACAGUUUGAGGAAAACCAACUCGAGGACACUGCACAGCGGUAUUUAUCAUUGCUGGUAUGAUCGAGAUCUGGCUACUUUUAUGCGCGACUUGGAACCUUACUAUUACCCACAAAUAUAAAUGAUGUUUGUUGCAUGAAACGAUAGCACGUUCUGCUCGAGCGGAGGAAAGAUGGAAGCCACUUGUGCUUGCAAUGGAACGAUGCCAGGGGGCUACAAGGGCUGCGGUCACGGUCACCCGGGCUAU